rnacentral:rRNA from 1 species
UACAGAGGUGGCAAGCGUUGUUCGGAAUUACUGGGCGUAAAGGGCGCGUAGGCGGUCUUGCAAGUCCUGUGUGAAAUCCCUCGGCUCAACUGAGGAACUGCACAGGAAACUGCUUGGCUUGAGUUCGGGAGAGGGAAGCGGAAUUCCAGGUGUAGCGGUGAAAUGCGUAGAUAUCUGGAGGAACACCGGUGGCGAAGGCGGCAUCCUGGACCGGCAUUGACGCUGAGGCGCGAAAGCGUGGGGAGCGAACAGG